rnacentral:misc_RNA from 1 species
UACGGAGGAUCCAAGCGUUAUCCGGAAUCAUUGGGUUUAAAGGAUCCGUAGGCGGGUUUAUAAGUCAGCGGUGAAAGUCUGCAGCUCAACAGUAGAAUUGCCAUUGAUACUGUUGACCUUGAGUAAUAAUGAAGUGGUUAGAAUAUGUAGUGUAGCGGUGAAAUGCAUAGAUAUUACAUAGAAUACCGGUUGCGAAGGCAGAUCACUAAUAAUUCACUGACGCUGAUGGACGAAAGCGUAGGUAGCGAACCGG